rnacentral:rRNA from 1 species
CAAUAGCGUAUAUUUAAGUUGCUGCAGUUAAAAAGCUCGUAGUUGGAUUUCGGGUGGGAAUGGCCGGUCCGCCGUUUCGGUGUGCACUUGCUACGCCCACCUUGCUGCCGGGGACGUGCUCUUGAGUUCACGCUCGGGACACGGAGUCGGCGAGGUUACUUUGAGUAAAUUAGAGUGUUCAAAGCAGGCCUACGCUCUGAAUACAUUAGCAUGGAAUAACACGAUAGGACUCUGGCCUAUCUUGUUGGUCUGUAGGCCCGGAGUAAUGAUUAAGAGGGACAGUCGGGGGCAUUCGUAUUUCAUUGUCAGAGGUGAAAUUCUUGGAUUUAUGAAAGACGAACUACUGCGAAAGCAUUUGCCAAGGAUGUUUUCAUUAA